rnacentral:rRNA from 1 species
UACGAGGGGGGCGAGCGUUGUUCGGAAUUAUUGGGCGUAAAGGGUGCGUAGGCGGUUUGGUAAGUCUUAUGUGAAAUCUACAGGCUCAACUUGUAGUCUGCAUGAGAAACGGCCGGGCUUGAGUGUGGGAGAGGUGAGUGGAAUUCCUGGUGUAGCGGUGAAAUGCGUAGAUAUCAGGAGGAACACCUGCGGUGUAGACGGCUUUCUGGACCAUUGCUGACGCUGAGACACGAAAGCGUGGGUAGCAAACAGG